rnacentral:rRNA from 1 species
GACGAACGCUGGCGGCGUGCUUAACACAUGCAAGUCGAACGGUGAAGCGAGUGCUUGCACUCGUGGAUCAGUGGCGAACGGGUGAGUAACACGUGAGUAACCUGCCCAUCACUCUGGGAUAAGCACUGGAAACGGUGUCUAAUACUGGAUACGACCAACCCUUGCAUGGGGUGUUGGUGGAAAGAUUUAUCGGUGAUGGAUGGACUCGCGGCCUAUCAGCUUGUUGGCGGGGUAAUGGCCCACCAAGGCGACGACGGGUAGCCGGCCUGAGGGGGUGACCGGCCACACUGGGACUGAGACACGGCCCAGACUCCUACGGGAGGCAGCAGUGGGGAAUAUUGCACAAUGGGCGAAAGCCUGAUGCAGCGACGCCGCGUGAGGGAUGACGGCCUUCGGGUUGUAAACCUCUUUCAGCAGGGAAGAAGCGAAAGUGACGGUACCUGCAGAAGAAGCACCGGCUAACUACGUG